rnacentral:misc_RNA from 1 species
AUAGACUGCUAGGAGGUUAAAGCAAAAUGCCUGGAAGGCGCCAACAUAAUGUUGAUGUAAGAGAAGGGUCUCUUAAAAAGGCAAAAUCCUAUGCCAUUUCCCUCUUCUCUCCCUUCUCACCAGUAAAUAAUUAAAAAAAAUGUGAGAACCUCGGUAAGCAGAUAUGUCAACAAUUAUCUCAAAGAAAUCUCAUACAACAACCAGCCAGUGAGCUUCUCAGCCAUAAUUAAUAUAGCUAUAGCCACUUUGGCAAUUCAAAAUGAAGGCUACUGAUUCCCAUGCUAUCCCUUGGUACAUGUAGCCAUCAGAUCAAACAAUACAGAAAAAUAUGGGCUCAAAGAAAGAAGCACCGACGUGCAAUUGAAUACGAAGAGUUCUUUGCCCCUCCUAAACAUCACACACACACAACACACAUAUAAGAAGCAACGGUCUCCAAAAGCCCUACCUGCCAGUUUAUAUAUCAUCUUGGCUGUGAAAAGCCAAGUGUGCUGUGCUUAGUCGCACAUCUUAAGAUAUGAAAAAAAAUAUUACUUAAAUUCUCUUUUGAAGUCCAUGAACUUUGGCAUAACAUUCAAAUCCACCCGCCAUGAAUUCAUUUGUGAAUAAAAAUUGAGGCCAACUUCAAUUUUAUGGUAAAUUGGUGUAAAAUUUCUUAUUUGUUGUCUUAAUUGUGCUAAAUCUCUUAAAAGAUAAAAAAUAAUAAGAAUAAGCAAAAUUCUUCUUGCAACACUCAGCAGUGGAUGUAACAGGACCCCAGAAACUUGAUAUUCCAUCAGCCAUCCUACUCUACGGGUGCCCAAACUUUGAAUAUAAUCAAUCAAAUCUCUUUUGUUACGAUUUGGCAGGGUUCAUGAACCAAUAAAAUACAAACCUACAGAGACAACCAGAGCUUUCAAGAACCCAAAAAUCUAUCAAUUAGAAACAUCGAGAGGAAACUUUACCAAACCAAAAAAAAAUGAGAUCACAAUCAACAAAUUGCAUUAAUUCAUAUGCCUAGCAAGAAAGAAGCAUAACACAUUAAAUGCAGUUGCUUCAAAAGGGAGUUCGUUAGACCACACAAACACACACACACACACAUCAUUUGUGCUACAUCUUGAACACGCACACACACACACAUCACUCACACAACAAAAAGAUACAUUAAUUUAGCUUGGAUUCAUUUGUGCUACAUCUUGAAUUCACAAUGCAAUUUCACUUUAUGUGUACACACACACGCGCGCGCACACACACACACACAAAAGCGCACACUACCACUUACACUGCAUAAGAAAAUCAGUUUAACACUUGAAAAACUCUAUUUUUGUGGCCUCACCCCCAUCACCCUCCGAUUCCCCGGAGGAAAAAAAAAAGGAAAAAAAAAGUUUCAUCUUACACUUUCUGUUGUACUUCCACUGCAUUGCAUGCAAUAUAGAGCUUAAUUGCACCAUAUAGUAUAUAUCUGCAUAGUGGAUAUAUCUAUAUAGUGUGCUUCUCCUUUAUUUUUCUUGUUUGUAGUGUUAUUUUUGUUUGGAUUGAUGCAAGCUGUGUCACCCUUGGCAAAAACCACCACCACCAAAGAUGAGAGC